GAUGAACGCUGGCGGCGUGCCUAAUACAUGCAAGUCGAGCGAACAGACGCGGCGCUUGCUCCUCUGACGUUAGCGGCGGACGGGUGAGUAACACGUGGAUAACCUCCCUAUAUGACUGGGAUAACUUCGGGAAACCGGAGCUAAUACCGGAUAAUAUAUUGAACCGCAUGGUUCAAUAGUGAAAGACGGUUUUGCUGUCUCUUCUCGAUGGAUCCGCGCCGCAUUAGCUAGUUGGUAAGGUCAAGGCUUACCAAGGCAACGAUGCGUAGCCGACCUGCGAGAGUGAUCGGCGGCACGAGAACGGAGACACGGUCCAUGCUCCUACGGGAGGCAGCAGUAGGGAAUCUUCCGCAAUGGGCGAAAGCCUGACGGAGCGACGCCGCGUGAGUGGUGAAGGUCUUCGGAUCGUAAAACUCUGUUAUUAGGUAAGAACAAAUGUGUAAGUAACUAUGCACGGCUUGACGGUACCUAGUCAGAAAGCCACGGCUAACUACGUG
rnacentral:rRNA from 1 species